AGGAGGUGCUGCCAUUCGAUAACGAGAGCUAGAGACUGCAGCGGGGGGAAACAGCAUAACCAAAGUGUGCUCCAACGCCAAAGCAGAAAGGAUUCUUGAAAAGUUCAUUGCAGGGAGGUUCUGUCAGAAUACAAAGUAAUUCUAAGCAGAAGGAAUGCUGUUUCUGGCUUUCAGAGUAGAGAAGACCCUGUGGAAGGAUUGGAGAAUGGCAGCAAGCGCCGAGGAGGAGUGUUUCCUGGCAAAAUACAGCAUGGAAACCCUAGUUCUGCAACUGCAAGAAAGCAAAUUCUGCCAGGAGGAGGAAACUCUGCCGGAGGAGGAACUCAGGCUCCAGAGGAAACGCAGCCCAGAGGCUGUAACAACUCAAUUUUGACUUCUUGAUACCUUGUGCAUAGAGCUUACCUGAGACUGACUGACUUGUGUACAGAGACUGCAAGGUAAUGAGUGGAUAAUGUUUAUAGCUCCCAUGUUUGUGAUAAUUGAUUUUGUAGCAACAGAAAACUAAUACUAAUUUUGAUUACAUGGGUAUUACUGUAACAAAUCCUCAAAAGAUGUGAAAAAGGUUUUGAGUCUGGUAAUAAACUAAUGCUAUUAGAACUACGAGAGUAAUGGAAAAGACCUAGAUUGCUUUGGAACGACUGAGAAAUGCAGUCACUAAAAAUGCUGUUGGUCUGGGCUCAGCAGGAAGUGAGGAAAUGUUAUUGGAGCUGGAGGAAGGAAGGUCCUUGUCAGGUAGCGUCAGGAAGCAGGGGAAAAUUGUUUCAGGGGUUAUUUAUAAAGCAGAUUUUGUAAUUGUUGAACCUGAAUGCUGCGGAGAUUUCUAAGCAAUGUGGUGAAGGAGAAGCCUGGCAUCUUUCUUUUCAUAAUAAAAAUUGAGAAGAGGCAUGAAUUGAAAAAAAGAAUUGUUGGGUGAAAAGAACCAUGAUUGGUUGAUAUGGGCAGUCUCAGCCUACAUACAGAAGUAGAAAGUGCUAAAAUUCAGAGAUCGCUUCUGAAAGUGUAGCACAGACAAACAACUAACAUGUGGCUGGCUGUGCAGCUUCUGACUCAAAUUUAGAAAGACCCAGAUGUUGUAGUAUGCAGAGUUAGAGAUAAAAGUAUGCCUCCUCUCCUAGAUCUCAGUCAAACCAGGGAGUCUCUAAAGAGAUUUGUUGGCGUUGUCCCUCAGCCAGUCCAGAACAAGCCAAACAUGGAGAAGGAAUUUUCUCAGAAAAAUCUAUGAACAACUUUUUUGUUUCAUGAAGUGAAUUCUAUGAAAUCCAACCAAAGCCCACAUGAUACUUGGGAAUAUUGCAUCAGUAGGAGACCUGACAGCUGCAAGCGAAAGGGACCUAGCUUUAAUAAAAUCAGAAGAGGCUCUCAGAUCCUUCAAGUUCUCUUGGCAGGAAGUGGGAGUUGACAAACCUCCUCAGCUACUAACACAAGCUACCUUUCAUGCAAACAGCCAGAUGACUCAGAGCUAAGAUCCCAGAAGACGGAGAUGAAAGCCACAAAGGAUAUUCCCAAAGCUUAGAAACGUGACAGAGUUUUCCCAGCUGGAUUUAAAGCUGUUUCAAUUUUCCCCACUUUUGAAUGAGAGUAUUUAUAACGGGAUCAGUUUUCUAUUGCUAUGUAAAAAAUUACCACAAAUGUAGUGACUCAAAAUAACAGAAAUUUAUUGUCUCACAGUUCUCUGGGUCAAAAGUGUGCUAUGGUGCAUCUGUAUUCUCUUCCUAGGGUCCAAAGGCAGCACUGAGAUACUCACCAGGUUGUGCUCUUGGAUUCAGACUCCAAAGAAGUCUAGGCUUAGUCAGUUUCUUUCCUUUUUUUGUUUCUUUGCAGCUCCUUUGAAGUGCCAUGACCUUGCUGCUGACAGCAGGCAAUCAGUUCUAUUUUCUAAAGACCACUUACAUUCCUUUGCAUGAGUGCCUUUCCUUCAUCACAGCCACCAGUCACCCUGAGAAAUCUUCAUGCUUUUGGGUCUUUUGCUUGAUUGCAAAUUUUGCGUUGGUAUUUGAGUGUAUGAGAUUGUUUUAGUUGUGGACAAGAAGGACUUUAACAAUUUCGAUGAUACAUAUGAAUAUGUCUUCUCAGUUAGAGUUAAGACCAUAAACCCAUAUGUGUCUGCAGGAAUAGCAUGAUUUUACUUUUCUCGUCUUACAGAUAUACUUUCUUUUACAUUAAUUCUGAAAUGUAUUGAUGUCUAUUUUGCAUUAAUAUCUGAAAUGUAUCGAUGAAAUUAAACGGCAUGUAAUGAGUGGCGCUCCUUUUUUUGUUUUGGCCCUUGAAAUACAACUUUUAAAUUCUCUGAGGCAAGACCUACAGAAGACUAGAAACCCAGAUAUUAACUUUCCUAUGCUAACGUAGAACAAAUCAAUUAAAUUAUCAAGCUCAUUUUUAUCAUAAUGAUUAUUUUCUUAGUAAAAGUCCUGAGAGGGGAAAAUGCAUUGCUAAAUAUAUUCAAACAACAUAUUACUAAGUAUUAGCUUACCGCUGCCGAAAAUGGCCUCAAUCUAAUAGUAGUCAUCACACUUUUAGAGUGACAUGACCUAUGAGUUUUUCAUAAUUGUCUCAUUUUUAUUCUCUGCCUCUGAUAUACUUAAGAUAUGCACCUGCAAUUUCCCGGAAUGCUUCAUAUUUCCCAUGCCUCUUCACAAUUUUACUUUCACCUGAACUGCAAUUUAAUUUGCCAACCUUUUCAUCCGUACUUUUCAUGUUUAGCAAUCAAAUCACUAAACAUCUGAUACCCCAAGUAACAGUAGCUAUACUUCUCGAUUUUUGCCUUUUCCACAAUUCAUCUGUUGAAAACCCAUUUUCCACUGCAACUGUGUUUGGAGAUAUGCUCUAUGAGAAGGCAAUAAAAUUUAAGUGAGUUCUUUAAGGUGGCCCUAAUCUAACAGGACUAGUGCCCUUAAUCUUCAAAGAAGAUAUACAAGGAGUGUGCUUGCAUAGAGGAAAGGUCAAGAGAGAACACAAUAAGAAAGCAGUCAUUUACAGUAAAGAAGAAAGGCCUUAUCAAGACUCAGCCCCACUGGUACCUUGACUGUACCUUGGCUUCCAUCCUGGAGAAUCAUAAGAAAAUACGUGUCUGUUGUUUGUACCACCCAGUCAGUGAUAUUCUAUGAUGGGAGGCCUGGUAGGUUCAGUGCUUGUAUAACUGUUCAUACAGGGGUUAUCAGUUUUUGUUUUUGUUUUUUCUCAAAGUGAAGCAAAAACUGAACAAUAUCAAUAUGCACUGAAAAGUACAACUAGAACUGCGACCAUGUAAUUUUUCACUUCUGUCCUUCAUUUUGAAUUUCUGGAUCUAUUAGGCCCAGUUUAGUGUCUCCAACUCCUCACUUGCCAUUUUGACUGAAGUUGCUUACUAAUUUUUACCUUUACAUCCCUGUCAAAACUCAUUUUCAUUCAUGUCAAUAACAACCUAAUGUGCCAUUCUUGGAUCCUCACUGAGUCUAUCUUGAUUUGUCAAACAACACUGCCGAGUAUUUUCUUCUUCUGAGUUACCGAUUUUCUUGUAAACCUUUGAUUGCUUUUUCUAUUCUUUGCCGGUUCAUUCUCAUCCAUGUGUUCCUUAAAAGUAGAUGCUGCUCAUUCCUUGUCCUAGUCUCUGUUUGCAUAUUCGCAUUGAAACCUUCAUCUUCCGCUAUGGUCUAUGUUUGAAGAAACAUUUAAAUAGAUAAGCCCAGUCCAACUCUCUUCUUGGCACUAUGUUCUACACCCAUAUUUUCACUUGAAUUUCAUACAAUAUUUCAAACUCAGUAUAUUAAAAUUUGAAUGUCAUUAAUAAUUUACAAGUGGAGUAAAAUCUGCCCUGAGAAAACAGAAAAGAGAUAAUGUAGAUCUUAGUUGAGUAAAUAUUUUUGUAGUGGAUUCUUGCUUGAGAUAAAUCUAAUGAGAAAUCUAGCAAGCCCUCAAAUCUGAAUUUUUGAGGAAAAAAGAAAGAAUUAGAUGACUUCCAGUUAAAGUGGCUUCUAGAUUUUGUUAUUCUUUUCGAAUGAAGUUAUCAGGGGGUAGAACUGAGAAUAUACUGCUUUAGGGAAACAGGUAAAAAAAAAAAAAAAAAAAAAAAAAAAAAACCAAACCAUUUCUAGAUGUUUUUAAAUAAUCUGUAGUAAGUAAGUGGUUAAUGUCAGUUACAUUUAUUUCACUUUUAGUUAUGUCAGAUUCUCAAGCUUUUUGGUCUCGGAGUACCUUUACAUUUUAACAAUUGCUAAAUAAUCGAAAGAACUGUGUUUAGGUAGCUUAUGAACUGUGUUUAUGUGUGCUACAUUUACUGUACUAGAGAUUAAAACAAACAAUCUAAAUAUGUCUAAAUAACCACAAGCAAAGUAUGUCAAUAUAAAUAAUAGAAAUAUAUAAUUUUUUAAAAAAGAUUUGUAGUUUCCAAAACAAAAUUAAUGCAAGAAGACUUUAAUGUUUUGCCUUUUACAAAUCUCUUUGUAAACUAGAUUCUUCUUUCUGCCUGAGGAUGAAUUUUCUUUGCAUAUGCUGUUCUGGCUGAAGUAUGUGAAAAAUGUAGCCUGACACAAAAAUAUACUUUGAAAAGGCACGACAUAAUAUUAUUGUAAUAGAUAUUUUUAAUAGACAUAUGUAUAGUACACUAAAACUUUGGCAGAUGGUGCUACUGUAAACUUUGUUUCGGCAUGAAAUCUAAAUUUGUAUUGCUGGACUUCUACAAAAAUUUAAUUGACUUAUAAUAAAUUUAGUUUUCUGUCUUGAACUAGUACAACAAGUAAAACUGACAUAUUACAAUAACUUUAUUUAGUUUUCCUUGAACUUUAAGUGAGUCUUUUAUGCAAGCAUGAUUUUGUAACAGCAUAAAUUCGUUAUUUGGAAAAAUAGUAGUUCACUAAGUUUUGUAGACAGAUUUUAUUAUACAAUGUCAAAAAAUCAUAGUGGUUAGCACCAUUACAAAUCUUUUUAGAAACGUUAGCCAGGUUCACAAAGGUGGAGGUAGCAUUCUAAAAUUUUAACGAGAAUUUAUGUAUUUAAAUUUUUGUUAUUGUUUAUCCUAUAAACAGGCUCACGUCAUUUAUUUCUAAGAAUAAGUGCCAGAUAUUCAAAUAUGAAUAACCAUGGAUUUUAUCAAUCGCCCUUUCAGCGAAGCAAUGGUGUUCUAUGAAGAAAGUGGCCAAUUUAACUUACAACUCUACCACAUCGGAGCACCUUUCACUGAGACAAGGUCACAGACCUUCAUUUCAGUAGGAAACAAAGUUUUCAACAGUGAGAUUUUGCUAAAAUUUUUUUUUCUGAUUUUUUUAAUAAAAAUUAGGUAAUACUGACUUUUUUUUUUUUUACACUAUGAGGUUGUGUAAGUGAAAAAUGCAACUGCUACUAGUCUAUUUUGGUGCCUUUGCUUUUGAAUUUUGUUAAGGCACUAAAGUUUUACCCCUCUUGUUUCCACAUCAUCAGUGUAUUGUAAAAGAAAUGAAUAAUGUCUUAGUAUUUUUAUAAAGAGAUCUUUGACCUUAUGAACCUUCUGAAAGGAUCUUAGGGAUCCUUGGUGAUCUGUAGAAUACAUAUGAGAACUUUUGAUCAAUAUAACACUGCAUCUCCAGAGACAGGAUUACACUGCACAGUAGGAAAGAAAUUGUACCUAUUAUGGUUUCUCUGCCUGAAAAUGGUAAUCUUAAUAUUAUCAUUUUCAAAUUAAGGGCUCAAUAAGAAAAAGAAUAGCAUGCUCGAAUUAAUUUAUCUACCAAACAUAAUAAAAGAGCCAUAAUGGUUAACAUUAGAUGCCAGUUUAUUUGGACUAAAAGAUGCCUAGGUAGCUGGUAAAGCUUUAUUUCUGGGUGUGUCCAUGAGACUGGCUUAUGAGUUGGUUGACUGAAUACAGGAGAUCUCUGUUGGGUACCAUCCAGAGAGCUGGGAGCCCAGACAGAAGAGGAGGGUAGAGGAAAGGCAAAUUCUCUCUUUCCUCAUAGCUGAGAUACCUUUUUUCUGUCCUUGGACAUUAGAACUCAAGAUUCUUCUGCCUUUGGACACUAGAACUUGUACCUACAGCCCCCAUCUCCCUGCCUCCAGUUUGGUGAACUGUUAGCCUUGAACCAAGAGCUAUACCACCAGCCUCUCUGCUUCUGAAGUCUGUGGACUUGAAUCAUCUUUCCUGGUUUUAUAGCUUACUGAUGGCCUAUCAUGGAACCUUUCCUCUCUUUAAUUGUACAGCAGAGUCUGAGUAUUCAUUAAAACUGCUCUUUUGUCAUUUCAGUGUAACUCAGUACUUCUCAUAUGUGGUCCCCUUCCAUCAUUGGUACUCUACAGGUUUUCUUGAGUUUUAAUCUGGGCAUUGUAAUUAUCUCAAGUAGUCCUCCCUUGUGGACACAUUGUCCAGUCUGUCUUCCAUACUGCCACCAGAACUGACACCUGAAAUAGGUGGCUAACUGUAUUUUUCAGUUUUAAAAAGUUUUGUACAAAGAGUAUCAGGAGUCCUCUGUGAUUCUCAUACUGACUGUUGCAAUCUGAUGACUCUUAUCUCCUGCCUUUCCCACUUUUACCAAUCAAAGGCAGCCAUCUACUACCAAAUGCUUCCAUCUUUAUGUGGAUGCGUGUCAUUCCUAUUACCUAAAGUCUCCUAUUCCUGCCUUGUGACCUAUUGCUUUUUUACCCACUUUACUUUGGUUUUCUUUCUUCCUGCUACCUUAAUGGACCUGAUAAACUCAUUUUCAUUAUAUUUUAAAUGCGUAUGUAUUUGUUCGACUAUAUAACAUAUACAAAAUGAUAUUCUAUAGAAGUGCUUCUUAUCUUCAUAAUUGAACUUAAUGAAAUAUGUAUGUUCCACAGUUUAACUUUGCCUCUUCUCUCUCUUCAAAUCAACUCAGAUGUAAGUAAUUUCUUUUCUUUGCACUUACCGAAGUUACACAUAUGUCAGCUGGACUCUUUCCUUUAUCAUGGGAAGUGUCUUUUGUUCCCAAUAACACCUUUUUUUUUUUUUUUUUUUUUAUUGGUACCAGGGAUUGAACUCACGACCGCCUGCUUGCAAGGCAGGCCCUUAUGCCGCUGAGCUAAAUCCCCAGCCCCAAAUAACACCUUUUAAAUCCUUGCAAUUUGUCAUCUACUCAAAGUAGACAAUGAAGCAUAUGUUGCCUUAAGAGAGUGAUGGUGCUACAAAGUAGCAGGAAAAAGUGAUUUUAGUUUCUGGAGCAAAACUUUGAUUUACAGUAUCUUAGCUAUUUGAACUUCUAAAUCCUAACUGUUGUAAGAAAAAGACUAUAAUUUUUAUGCCAAUAAAUCACCCUUGCAGACUUAGAUGAAUGAGUAAUAAUAUAAAGGCAAAUUUUUUUCAUUUUAUUGGCUGUGGGAGAGAAGGGAGAAUCAGAAGAGAGGUAAGGAGAGUUAGCUGCUGGUAUUUCCCUAAGAAUGUACCAUGCUUCCUACUUACAUGAUUUUAUAUCUACAGGCAAGUACACUGCAAAAAUGUGAACAAAGGGACCAUACGCUCAGCUUCCACACAGAACUCCGAGAAGCUGUGAUAGCAGAGCUGAGAUUAAUACACAGAGCGGCUGAGCAAAGCUACCCGGGGCAAGCUUGAGAUUGUCUUGUGCUCCGUACAGUGUAUACCAGUCAAAUGCUUGAUUUGUGUCUCGGAGGGGCUCACAAAUACCUGAGCACUAGUUUUUGGGAUUAAGGUUUAAUAGGAUUAAAGCAGGGAAAGCAGGAGCUUACGCAGACCACAAAUCUGUAAACUAAUGAAAAUCAGACGUUUUUAAGAAAGACUAAUGUACAUAGAUGACAGCCAUUUAAUGAAUCACCCAUUUCUGUUUCCCCCUGCCUGUUCUUCCACUGAAAUAUCUCUUAGCGGGAAGGUCCAAUUUCAGACUUCACUGGGAAGGUAACUUUGAAUUGACCAAGAAAACCUUGAAUUGGCUGAGGAAAUGCAAAAGUUUGACUGAAGUUAUUUUAAAUUGACUGGAAAAAAAUGACUAGGAUGCUAAGAUAGGGUCUGUUAUCUAGCAGAAAUGGGAGUCAAAAUAGAAAUAGGUUGAAUUACAGAAGAAGAAUCAUGUGGAUUGAAUUUCAAGACUAAGAUUUUUAUGUGUUGACCUUCAACUGUGGGUCUCAUACUAAAUGAAACUUUAUUUCAUCUAUUUUUUUGUGGUACUGUCUUAGAUCAUAAAUGUUUGAAAGGCAAAUGGUUUUAACUUAUUUUAGUGUUACCUAUUCCUGCACAGUACUUUUCCCAAUGGUUUCCAAAAUGUACAUGCAAUUAGACUCUACCUUCAAUUCUGUUAUGAAUAACAGGCACUGUUUUUGAGUAGUCAUACAAUAACUUAAAAUAUAAGUGUUCAUUUCCUUUAUUUUUUUUAACUGUACUAUAAAAGUGAAGAAAUGAAAAGUGAAAGAAUUAGUAGGAUGAAGUAAGGAUAACUUUUCAUGACACAGAAAAUGGGUUGCAAUUUUCAGUACUGAUAUAAAACGACCAGUCUAUUGGACUAUUAGAUUAAAAGUCUACUAGACUAUUAGACUUUGUGAGUUAAUUAACAGGCACAAGUUAACAUUACAUACAUGAGAAUAUGAAAGAUAAUGAUAAAUAUAUUUAAGUCCUUUCAUGAUAUAAAAGUGAGUCAGCAAGAAGGCCCUAAGGAUAUCGCUUUCACUUCUGCUAUGUAUAUUUCAAGAUUUUUAAGGUGUAGAAAAAAAAAGAGCCAAAUAUUGAACCAUGCGAGAUAGCAAAGAGUGAUUAUACAUACUUGCAUUUGCAUUUGCUUGAUUUUAAAAUUGACUUAAAGUAGUUCUUUAUUAUUUCUGUUAAUUUGAAGGUUGUACACAAUGAGGAACCCAAUAUAACUUUAAUAAAAGUAUUUAUUUUCUUUAGGAGUUAAGCCAAUUAGGGUUCUAUGUUUCUACCUUUUUUAAAGGGAAAAAUAAAAUAAGUAUGUUUAAUCAUUAAAUUAAACAUAUGCAUUAUUGGCCAUUAACUUCUAGUGUGUUAUGGUUUGAUAACUAAGUGGUCAACUUAACGCCAGCUGGAUUACAUCAGCAUGUAUUGAGAGAAGAUGCUCCACCUGAGGAGGGUUGCCAGGAUAAAUAGGUGGAGAAGAAGAGAGGUGUGGAGAGGGAUUGAGGUGUUAUGGAGGCAUUGUUGGUUCUCCUACGAGUUGCUGUCUGAGCUGUUGGUUCUCCUGGAGAAGCUUUGGUCUUCACAUCAAGCAUUGCUUCCUGGCUCCAGAGGGGAAGACAUGUGCUGCCUGGUCUCCAGGGUGAACUCCUCACGCUGCUUCCUGGCACAUACCUGACUGUGCUUGUUGUCGGAGGAGCUCGGGGCCUCCGUGUCGCUGAGGACAGCUGUGGUUCCUUUUAGGACAGCCCCGCUUUUUGUUGUGAGUGUGACUUCUCAGCUCCAGUGUAGAACCCUCAUCCUACUAGCACAGCUCCUUCAUCCUGCUGGCAUGGACUUUCUGGCUUCCACCGCUGACCCUUGGGUCUUCCCGGCGUGAAUCCGUAAAAGAGCCUGGCAUGAGUCCUUGUGGGCCCUGGACUUCCAGUUGGACUCAUGGAGGCAUUGUCCUGAGCUCUGGGUUUUUAUCUGGACUGAUGUGGGAAAUUGCCAUGGGGUUUAGGCUCUUGACUAAAUAAUCUAUGUCAUUGGUGUUGCAGAUAGAUUUCCUGCAUUCUCCUGUGUUAACUUCCGGUGACUAUUAUAAAAAUAUUAUAAACUCCAUGUCCCACCUGAAUUGUUCUGUGUACAACCCCUGACUACAACAUAGUGCAAAAAAUUAAUUUGUACUAAUAAUUGAGCUGUAUGCAGAACUUGUGAUAGC